rnacentral:rRNA from 1 species
GACGAACGCUGGCGGCGUGCUUAACACAUGCAAGUCGAACGGAAAGGCCCUGCUUUUGUGGGGUGCUCGAGUGGCGAACGGGUGAGUAACACGUGAGUAACCUGCCCUUGACUUUGGGAUAACUUCAGGAAACUGGGGCUAAUCUCGUAUAGGAUCUCCUGCUGCAUUGUGGGGGGUGGAAAGUUGCGGCGGUUGGGGAUGGACUCGCGGCUUAUCAGCUUGUUGGUGGGGUAGUGGCUUACCAAGGCUUUGACGGGUAGCCGGCCUGUGAGGGUGACCGGCCACAUUGGGACUGAGAUACGGCCCAGACUCCUACGGGAGGCAGCAGUGGGGAGUAUUGCACAAUGGGCGGAAGCCUGAUGCAGAAACGCCGCGUGCGGGAUGACGGCCUUCGGGUUGUAAACCGCUUUCGCCUGUGACGAAGCGUGAGUGACGGUAAUGGGUAAAGAAGCACCGGCUAACUACGUG